GCUUGGAGUUGGCCGAGAUGGAGGCGUAGAUCGAGGAAGGAUGUUCUAGAGAAGACUUGGAAGAGUUGGAUGAAAAAGCGAGAGGUUUCGGACAGUGAGGACUGGGAAAGUGUUUGCGAACCCUGUAACACUUGAAGGGGAUCUGCUGUUCUACGCCUUCUCCAACACAGUUGUGGUCAAGAACGUGUGCAAGACUGAGAUUGCCGUGUAUCUAGGGCGGAGGGUUUUCAUAACGAAAAACCGCUUUGAGGCUAGCAUCUUACCGCUCACCAUUCCGAAGUCAAUGGAGGUAGAUAUCCC